UGCCCAGCAACUCCUGUCCCUACCCCCUCGUGGUACUGGCCGGGGUAUGAGUAACCUUAGGGAAGA
rnacentral:ribozyme from 1 species